UCGAAUUGCUAAUGUGCAAAAAGUCUCUUCGUAAGAACUUAAAUAAAUCUGAUUCUGCUUCUCAACGAAGUGAAAAGGCUGUGAUAGGCAAUAUCAGUGAAUGCACUGUUUGCCAUAAAGAAACCAACGAGCAAGUCAUUUGUACUAUGUGUGCUUAUUCUUGCUGCAAGAAGUGCACGGUCGAGUGCGAAAAAUGCGCAUUGCUCUUCUGUUCUCUUUGUAGCAUCAAGAAUUAUGACCAGCGCGAAGAUAGAGUGUUCUGUAUCCUUUGCAGCUAGACAGCUAUGGCAUAGCAGCGCACAGAAUUAAAUCGUUUUCAGGACGUUGCUUUAUUUUUUGUACAUGCUUUAUACGUGCGCUUCAAGACUUCGUAUCUUUCUCUUUAUUGGUAACGGGCUCUACUAGUAUUUUAAAUGCGUCAGCUUCGAUUCUGCUAUGAAGCUAUCGAUUUUGUUCCAAAUUUGCAACAAAGCCGUUUGGUCUACAUGCCUGGCGCAUCUGCUCAACGUUACAAUUGUAACGUUCCAAUUUGCAAUUGUAUCUUGUGGAAUUUUUUCUCCUUCAAACCGUACAUAAAAGCCACAGUGCUUGCGAAA